UCGAGGGAAAGGUUGGGGUUAGGGAGAGAGAGAGAGAGAGAGAGAGACAGGUCAUCAUUGUUGUUUGCAAUUGAACCAGGCUGCGGGAAAGGGCAGGGAUUCAGGCCAGGUAUUGUUGUCGACAUGUGGGAAGGCUUCUGGAAACGGCCAGUCGCCAGUCACUGGGAUGCUUCGAGAAUCAAACAACAGUGAUCAGUCAGCAAAACAUAUGUAUCUAUCUAUAUAUCUAUAUCUUUCUAUCUAUGUAUGUAUGUAUCUAGCUACUCGUGGGACAUGGUAGUACGGUACGGACGGAGUACAUUGUGUAGCAUCAUCGCACACAAAGUCCAGCCAAAUACGCUGGGGCGGCGUACGUUACAUGGGCACAUCGCGUCAUCCAGGGCGA
rnacentral:sRNA from 2 species